CACCCCCUGGCAUAGGGUCCUGCCCCCCACCUAGGGCCCACCUAGGCCUCCCACCUACCUGACCGCUUUGGAGGUCAGUCGUUGGAUGGGGGGGUCCCUCUGUUCUGCUGCGACAUCAGAGGAAUCUGGAAUCCUGGCCAGGCCAACAGACGGAGGGGUGGCCAGCAGCCUCCUCCUCUGAUGCCCCCUCGGACACCUGGGUCCCAUCGCUGCCAUGGGCAGCGGAAAGGGAACUCCCUGCAGAAGGCCAUCGCUGUGGUCCAGGAAGGCUGUGCUGACCCUGAAGGUCAGGAAAAGAUGUCGGGGUGUAAAAAGAGGCAGCGGCGGUGUAGUGGUUAGAGUGCCAGGCUAGGACCCAGGGAAGACCAGGGUUCGAAUGCCCCCAGCCAGCCAUGAAGGUUGCUGGGUGUGAGCUCAGGGGAGUGUCGGCCUCCUUCUGUCGGCCUGACCUGCCUCACAGGGCUGCUGUGGGGACUCCAUGAGGACUAGGAGCAAGACCAGGGUUCGGAUCCCCACUAGGACAAAAAGGGCGCUGGGUGACUUUGUGGGGCAGGCACUGCCGCUCCGCCUAACCGACCUCACAGGGUUGUUGUGGGGCUUCAAUGAGGACUAGGAUCUGGGAGAGACCGGGGUUCGAAUCCCCCACCCAGUGGCUGUAAAGCUUGCUGAAGAUGACCUUGUGGGGGGGCGGUCACUGCUUUCUCUUGGCCUGACCUACCUUACAAGGUUGUUGUUGUGGGGAUUCAAUGAGGAGGUGGGAGGAGAACCAUGUGCCCCACCUUGAGGUUCCUGGAGGGAAAGUUGGGCUGCAAAUGCAGAAAAUAAAUAAAUUCCAUUCCAAGUGGACCAAAUCCCACUUUUUGAAAUCUCAGGCGGGGGGGGGGGUGGCUACAUACUUCCUCUGCAAACCCCUUUGUUCCCCCCCCUCAAAUAAUCAGCCUUUUUUAGUCAUAUCCCCUCCCUCUGGUUAUCCCCUUCUCCAGACUCUCUUAUUUCAAUCCCCCCCCCCUCUUUUAAAAAAGCGGGGGAGCAGCAAGGAUCCAGGGUGGUUUACGAAAACAAAAAAGAUGUGAUAAAGCUUAGGUAGAAAUGCACAAAAUAAAUCCUAAAUAAACCCCAUAUUGUUGAGCCUUCACUACUAGAGCAUGUGGGGCAAGAACCCAACGUGCUGGCAUGGAGGGGGCACCUCAUUCUCCCUGCCACCCCCAAAGGCCACCCGGGUGCAGACGGGUCUUCAAAGGGCCUUCAAAGGGGUCUUCAAAGGGCCACGGGUGGAAUGCAAGUGGUUGCAAAGAAGCAAAGGCCUCCACAGGAGAGCCAGAGGAAAGCCGCUUUGUACCUCCACAGAGAACUGGAGCCUCCGGAGAGGGUCAGGGGGAGGGGAAGCCAUCUUGCGCCCCCCCCCCGUUCUUAGUGGGGGUGGGAGGGCCUUGAAAAUAUUUCAGAACAGGGCCUAUUUUCAAGGCCCUGUUCUGAGAGAGACUCUCCCUUCAGCUCCAUUACUCUGGGGCGCCACAGCUGGAGAAAGCAUCUCCUGCGUGAAGGGCCUGGCUGGCAUGUGGGAUGUAAUCCAUUGGAGCAGUCAAGUACAAUAUUCCUUGUUUUCCUAGAGUGGACACAGACAGGGAGAUAGAUGUAGCCGAGUUCCAUUCCCCUUUCUUACAUGCAUAGCAGAUAGCUGGUUGCAGGCUCGUGUGAGCCUCUCACUAUUAUACAAUUCAGUCUGUCUCAGAUUGAAUUGUACGUUCCUGGUAAGUUCCCUUGAAUCCCUCUUAAAAGAAUCAAGACACGACAAUCUUAUUCAAAGUCAAUAAAAUAACUUUACUCACAUCAGUUCACAGUUGGAUUCCUGAAGGUAGACUUAGUUACAAAUAUGUACAUGUGGAUCUACCCCAUAUUGGAUAAUAACCCAGUGCUUCUGCUAGCUGGAAGCUAGCAGAGCAGUCCUAGCUAAAAGCUGGUCAAAUUAAGAAGGAAGUCAAAAAGAGGGAGAGUGCUGCGUGACUCGUCCUUUUGUUACCUGGACAGGUGAGGUCACGCCCACCUCUAGUCACAUGCAAAGGAAGGAUGCUCCAGCCAGGAGGAACAGGAAGUUUUGACUGGCUGGACCAAACAUUCCCCCACAUGUCUUCUCUAGCAUUACAAGGAAUGUUGUACUUGACUGCCUCUCAUGGAUCACAUCCCACAAUAACUUUCUGUUCCACCUGGUCUGGAGCAUCCUCCCCCUGCAUGUGACCAGGUAGGUGGGCGUGAAGCUUGCAGACCCAACAAAAGGUCCAGUCACGCAGCUCUCUUUUUCUUCUUCUGCUUUUCUUCUCUUGGACUGCACUGCUGGCUCUCAGCCAGCAGCACAUGGGAUCAAUCCCAACCUCUCUCUGUAACUGUAACUACAAGCCAAAGCCUGCCUUCAGGGAGCAUACUGUGAACUGAAUGUAAGUAAACUUCUUGCUACUUUUAAGGAAAGACGGCUGUGUCUUUAUUCUUUUGAGCGGGAUCAAAGGGGACUUACCACGAAUAAAUCCAAUCUGGGCAAGCCAGACUGGAUUGCUUAACGAAAGAGAUUCACACGAAUCUGCAAACUAGCUUCCUGCUGUCUAAGGGGAACGUGUUCUGCUACUUGACUCCCUAGCGAGAGUGAGGAAGGGUAAUAUUUAAUCUGAUCUGGGAUCGUAAUUAACUUCAUUUCAUUUCAUAUUUAAUCAAGAUAUCCUCUCCUACUAUUUACAACAUUCUCACAUGGCAGACAGAGACAACAAGAGGGACCGGGAUCCCACAGAGGGGAGGAAGGAGUGGAUAUGGUAAAAUGUUUAAGUGCUGCGACUGAAACUUUAAAAAAAUGAAACGAUUUAAUGUUUUCUAUUUGUAGCAGCUGUGGCUUUUCACCCCUUUCUAUGCAUUUGAUCCAUAUUUUUUCCAUUAAUAUGCAAAGAAUAUAUUUUUUAUAAUUUAAAAAAAGGUGAAAAUAAGGAGAUCUGCCCAUGCUGACAGGCCUUUGAUGUUGUUAACAUCCCCCAAGACCUUCAGGUUCAGCUGAUAUUGUUCCAGGUUGUGGGGACAGUCUGGAUGGCCCCUGGGGACCCCUCCUAGCCUGUAUUCCUGCGUGUGGAUGGAAUCUGUUAAGAGGAAACUGCUGAACUAGUCUAAGAAAAAUGGAAAUGACUUAAUGGAUCUCUUUUGUGGUGGCUGCUGCUUUUCAUCCCCUUUGAUGGGAAACCCAGUCAGAUGGGCGGG